GACGAACGCUGGCGGCGUGCUUAACACAUGCAAGUCGAACGGAAAGGCCCCUUCGGGGGUGCUCGAGUGGCGAACGGGUGAGUAACACGUGGGUGAUCUGCCCUGCACUUUGGGAUAAGCCUGGGAAACUGGGUCUAAUACCGGAUAGGACUCCGAGAUGCAUGUCUUGGGGUGGAAAGCUUUUGCGGUGUGGGAUGGGCCCGCGGCCUAUCAGCUUGUUGGUGGGGUGAUGGCCUACCAAGGCGACGACGGGUAGCCGGCCUGAGAGGGUGUCCGGCCACACUGGGACUGAGAUACGGCCCAGACUCCUACGGGAGGCAGCAGUGGGGAAUGUUGCACAAUGGGCGCAAGCCUGAUGCAGCGACGCCGCGUGAGGGAUGACGGCCUUCGGGUUGUAAACCUCUUUCACUAGGGACGAAGCGCAAGUGACAGUACCUAGAGAAGAAGCACCGGCCAACGACGUGCCAGCAGCCGCCGUAAAAC
rnacentral:rRNA from 1 species